UAAAAAACCUAACCCAGUCAAAUCAAUAAGCAGCUGGCAACCAAUAACGUCUGACGAUUUGUUAUUUCCAAAGCUCCUAACUUUUAAUUAAUAGCAGUCCCCUAGGCAUUCAAUCUUCACUCUGCUGUCUAUUUCGGUCACAUUUCCUCUGAAGCAGUUCCUCAAUCUGGAUUUCUUGACCGAUAUCCUACCGAAGCCAAAUUCUGACUAUCCAGUUCCUCACCCCUCAGGUAAAUCGUCUCUCCUUUCUCGAAUGCGAUCUUUGCUAUUCUGUGAGCAUCUAAGUUUUCUGACCUGUGAAUAUACUGGAAAAUAAGAUCUUGAAAGUCAGAUUUCUUCUGUUGAAUAUCUCUGAUGAUGGCUCCAAUAACUGAUUUGUUUGUGGAAGUCUCUUGACAUUUCUUUAUUACAGUUUUUGAAUCCCCCAUAAGUUUCAUUGAAUGGAUUCGUAAUGAAAUCCCUAACUUUACUCCUUCUAAACAUGUAUGAGCCUCUGCUGCUAAAGGAGAAGAAACAUUUCUGUGAAUAACUAUUUUUAACGCUAUUAAGACUCCCCUCGAGUCCCAACCUACAAGGCCAGACGCUGAACUGGAGGUAUUACUAUCGUACGCUGCAUCAAAAUGGAUCCUGGCUGUCGGUUACUAAAGCCCUUCCUGGAAUGAUAUUUCUCUCAUGAAUAAGUUGAUUUCUAGAAAACCAUAUCCACCAUAGCGCAUAGCAAAAGGAAAAGCAUUGGUCAUUGUUUCCCCUCUUGAAAACCCAAGGCAAUCUCGAAAGAUGUGGAGGCUGUUUUCGACCUGAGAGCUGCACCGGGGACAUCUAUCGUUUGAAACCACUCUCCUUAUUCUGAGAUUAACAAAGUUUGGAAUAAAGUCCCAAGAGAUCCGCCAGAUUGUAAACGCAAUUUUAGAUGGUAGCUGAAGGCUCCAUAGUUUUUUUAUAAAAAUCCUUUGUUUUGGUUUGUAAUAAAUAGUCACUAGGAUCCAUAUUUACAUUUUGUAAUAGUUUAUAGGCACUACGAACAGAGAACUCACCAGAUAAUUCCCCUUUCCAAGCCUGAAAAUCAUCACACGCAAUCUCUGCAAGGGGAAUUUGAAGGAUUUUCCGAACUAUGUCCCCAGGAAAGAGAUGCUAUCUCCUCUGCCCACUCUCCAGCACAUCCCUUUUUGGAGUAGACCUUUAGCAGCCCAAAUGCUCUUCCAGGUAAAAGAAGGUAAAUUUCCCAGCUUCGCUGUUAAGAAACUAGAAUCCAGAUAAUACUUUGCUUUUAAAGUUCUGGCUAAAAGCGAAUUUGGAAAAUUAAUGAGACGCCAACCUUGUUUCGCUAAUAAUGCAAUAUUGAACUGACCGAAAUUGUGAAACCCAAUUCCACCAUUUUCUUUCAAAAAACAAAGAUUCUUCCAAGUGCACCAAUGGAUUCCUCUUUUUCCCUUCCCUUUCUGCCACCAGAAUUUGGCAACAAUAUGUUCCAGUUCAUCACAAAAGUGUUCUAGGAAAUAAGAAGCAUGCCAUCGAAUAGG